rnacentral:misc_RNA from 1 species
CUAGGCCUGAAGUGAACAUCUGAUUCAAGUAAAUUUAAUAGUCACAAUCAGGAAAGGUUCAAUGAUGCUGACUAGCUGAGACCUGCACAAUUGAUUUAUAUACAUGGACUUGCAAUUUAAUAUUGCACAAGAAAUUGCAGUUUUUUACUGCAAUUUAAUAUCACAGCCAGAUGUUUCAGAACUAGUUUGAAUUUCGUUCUAGCAACUUAAAAUUACGGAGAAAUCAACUAUGAUCUUUGAAGGC